CCCCAUUGACGUGUCUCCAACACUAACAGGGAUACUGGUGAUGAAGAUGCUGAUGUUCUUCAAAAGUCAGUCACAUGUCUAACAACUGUCCCUUAAGACAGAAGCAGAGACAGCGUCCAUACCAAUGGCCUCAUCUGUUUGGAUCUUCUCCCAGCGUGUCUCCAACAAACCGUCUGGGUUCACCCGUAGCCCUGUCGUUCCAGAUGCAGUCAGCUGCAACUCACCGGAGAAUGAGCGCUUCUGACGAAGCUCCAGAGAUAUCUGACGAGUGACUCGGUGGCUGGAUGCAAACUCAGUGGACGUUACCGAGCUGAAAAGACAAUCCAGUCAUAUGUUUACCCCUGGGGAAGACUGGCUUUUUGAGAUUUUCUUUUUUUUAUUGUGAUUCUGUUUGUACACCUCCAAAGCCCAAAGCGUGCUCAUGUCUACCUGAGCUUUGCCCUGCAGUAAGCGAUCAGGUCAUGUCCAGCAUGGCUGUUCAGAUCCUCGGCUUCUUCCUAGGGCUGCUGGGGUUUGUCGGCACUUUAGUUGCUACUCUGCUCCCCCAGUGGCGCGUUUCGGCCCACGUGGGCUCCAACAUCAUCAUGGCCACCUCAUAUAUGAAAGGCCUGUGGACGGAGUGUGUGUGGCACAGCCCAGGGAUGUGGCAGUGUGAGAGCUACAGAUCUCUGCUGCCACUGCCUCCUGGCA